AACGAACGCUGGCGGCAUGCCUAACACAUGCAAGCCGAACGAGACCUUCGGGUCUAGUGGCGCACGGGUGCGUAACGCGUGGGAAUCUGCCCUUAGGUUCGGAAUAACUCAGAGAAAUUUGAGCUAAUACCGGAUGAUGACGUAAGUCCAAAGAUUUAUCGCCUAAGGAUGAGCCCGCGUAGGAUUAGCUAGUUGGUGUGGUAAAAGCGCACCAAGGCGACGAUCCUUAGCUGGUCUGAGAGGAUGAUCAGCCACACUGGGACUGAGACACGGCCCAGACUCCUACGGGAGGCAGCAGUGGGGAAUAUUGGACAAUGGGCGAAAGCCUGAUCCAGCAAUGCCGCGUGAGUGAUGAAGGCCUUAGGGUUGUAAAGCUCUUUUACCCGGGAUGAUAAUGACAGUACCGGGAGAAUAAGCUCCGGCUAACUCCGUGCCAGCAGCCGCCGUAAAAC
rnacentral:rRNA from 1 species